UGUUAGUAGAGAUCCUAAUCCAAUAGAUCUUGAAUAACACAAACAAGGAUGGAAGAAAGAUUAGAAAGAGAUAGUAAGAAGAAGAGUGCAUUCUUGGAAAGAAUUCUAUGCUAGAGGUGAAGCUUUGGUUUUUGGCUGAGCUAAAUGAUGUCAUGUGAUCCAUGUGCUUGCUUAGUGGGAUGAGACUUUGUUAUUGGUGAGGAAUGUAAUCCUCUUAUAGACACCCAAUUUCGUCCGGGGGGCAUACAAACGAAGAAAU